GGGUGCAAGCAUACCAAGGUUAAUGCUUUGAAUCCCAUCAAAAAUUUUCAGUUAAGCAUACUUGGGAUAGAGUGGCAUUAGGAUGGCCAACCUCCUUGGAAAUAUUAGUGUUGCACCCU
rnacentral:rRNA from 1 species